rnacentral:rRNA from 1 species
CCUACGGGAGGCAGCAGUCGAGAAUUAUUCACAAUGGGGGAAACCCUGAUGGUGCGACGCCGCGUGGGGGAAUGAAGGUCUUCGGAUUGUAAACCCCUGUCAUGUGGGAGCAAAUUAAAAAGAUAGUACCACAAGAGGAAGAGACGGCUAAAUCUGUGCCAGCAGCCGCGGUAAUGCAGGGGUCUCAAGCGUUGUUCGGAAUCACUGGGCGUAAAGCGUGCGUAGGCUGUUUCGUAAGUCGUGUGUGAAAGGCGCGGGCGCAAGGCGCGGACGACACAUGAUACUGCGGGACUAGAGUGAUGGAGGGGGGACCGGAAUGCUCGGUGUAGCAGUGAAAUGCAUAGAUAUC